rnacentral:rRNA from 1 species
AUUGAACGCUGGCGGCAUGCCUUACACAUGCAAGUCGAACGGUAACGCGGGGCAACCUGGCGACGAGUGGCGAACGGGCGAGUAAUGCAUCGGAACGUGCCCAGUAGUGGGGGAUAGCCCGGCGAAAGCCGGAUUAAUACCGCAUACGACCUAUGGGUGAAAGCGGGGGAUCGAAAGACCUCGCGCUAUUGGAGCGGCCGAUGUCAGAUUAGGUUAUUGGUGGGGUAAAAGCCUACCAAGCCUGCGAUCUGUAGCUGGUCUGAGAGGACGACCAGCCACACUGGGACUGAGACACGGCCCAGACUCCUACGGGAGGCAGCAGUGGGGAAUUUUGGACAAUGGGCGCAAGCCUGAUCCAGCCAUGCCGCGUGCGGGAAGAAGGCCUUCGGGUUGUAAACCGCUUUUGUCGGGGAAGAAAUCUUCUGGGCUAAUACCUUGGGAGGAUGACGGUACCCGAAGAAUAAGCACCGGCUAACUACGUGCCAGCCGCCGCCGUAA